rnacentral:lncRNA from 1 species
AUAAAUAUAUAGGGUCCGGCUACUAUACUAUUAUGAGUACGAUCGCUCUCGAACUCAUAAAUCGUUUUCGAUGAUAGAGCUUCCGAAUCGACAAUCUAUACCGUUAAACAUUAUUUACAGCAUUUAAAACUUCUAGAAAUCAAAUUUUAUAAUUUUUCGACAUCAUUUACCUUACAAUCAAGAGGUCACAAAUUUGACGAUUUUUAAUGGCCGGUAUGGAAUACUUGCUAGUUUAACUGUGUAAAAGAAUCGAAAUUUGUUGAAUUUUUGAUAGAAAAUUCUAAUUCACUACCCAGAUAAAGAUCACUAGCUCCGAUCUUGAAUUGAAGUCUCCGAUCGGCCUUUUUUAGGACGUCGUUUGAUUUUGACCGUUCAUUUUAUGCCCGCUUGAUAGACUUUAUUAUGAUUUUGAAAAUUUACGAAAUUUAUUUUCUAAAAAUUUUAAAUACUCUAUAUCAUAUUUAACGGAGUGGAUCGUCGAUUCGGAAGCUCCAUCAUCGAAAACAACUUAUGAGUACGAGGGCUCCAAUACUCAUAAUAGUAUAGUAGCCACGGCCUAUAUAUAUAUAUAUAUAUAGUUCGGCUGGGAUAUUAUCGAUAGCACCAAGCACUUGGUGCUACCAAGUUUUCUGCCGUUUGAUUUAACCUGUUGACUAUUUUCACCCGUUAAAUUAUACUAUUCAACCAACAGCUCACUCAACUCUAGAGGGCCCACAUCAUCCUAACCGUAUAUUUUUUCAUCCAAGGGCCGAAAACCUCGGCCGAAAAUCUAAUAGCACCAACAACUUAGUACUAUUGAUAGCAUUCCAGCCUAGUUAUAUAUAUAUAUAUAUAUAUAUAUAUAUAUAGAGAGAGAGAGAGAGAGAGAGAGAGAGAGAGAGAGAGAGAGAGAGAGAGAGAGAGAGAGAGAGG